rnacentral:rRNA from 1 species
UGGGGAAUAUUGCACAAUGGGCACAAGCCUGAUGCAGCCAUGCCGCGUGUGUGAAGAAGGCCUUCGGGUUGUAAAGCACUUUCAGCGAGGAGGAAGGUGGUGAGCUUAAUACGCUCAUCAAUUGACGUUACUCGCAGAAGAAGCACCGGCUAACUCCGUGCCAGCAGCCGCGGUAAUACGGAGGGUGCAAGCGUUAAUCGGAAUUACUGGGCGUAAAGCGCACGCAGGCGGUUUGUUAAGUCAGAUGUAAAAUCCCCGGGCUCAACCUGGGAACUGCAUUUGAAACUGGCAAGCUAGAGUCUCGUAGAGGGGGUAGAAUUCCAGGUGUAGCGGUGAAAUGCGUAGAGAUCUGGAGGAAUACCGGUGGCGAAGGCGGCCCCCUGGACGAAGACUGACGCUCAGGUGCGAAAGCGUGGGGAGCAAAACAGGAUUAGAUACCCUGGUAGUCCACGCUGUAAAACGAUGUCGAUUUUGGAGGUUGUGCCCUUGAGGCGUGGCUUCCGGAGCUAACGCGUUAAAUCGACCGCCUGGGGAGUACGGCCGCAAGGUUAAAACUCAAAUGAAUUGCGGGGUCUA